UACGAAGGAUCCAAGCGUUAUCCGGAUUUAUUGGGUUUAAAGGGUGCGUAGGCGGUUUAUUAAGUCAGUGGUGAAAGCUCCAUGCUCAACAUGGAAAUUGCCAUUGAUACUGAUGAACUUGAGUACAUUUGAAGUGGGCGGAAUAUGUCAUGUAGAGGUGAAAUUCUUAGAGAUGAUAUAGAACACCGAUUGCGAAGGCAGCUCACUAAACUGUAACUGACGCUGAGGCACGAAAGCGUGGGGAUCAAACAGG
rnacentral:rRNA from 1 species